AAUAUUGCACAAUGGGCGAAAGCCUGAUGCAGCGACGCCGCGUGAGGGAUGACGGCCUUCGUGCUGUAAACCUCGUUCAGUAGGGAAGAAGCCUUUCGGGGUGACGGUACCUGCAGAAGAAGCGCCGGCUAACUACUUGCCAGCAGCCGCGGUAAUACGUAGGGCGCAAGCGUUGUCCGGAAUUAUUGGGCGUAAAGAACUCGUAGGCGGCUGGGCGCGUCUGCUGUGAAAACGCAAGGCUUAACCUGGCGCCUGCAGUGGGUGCGGGCAGGCUAGAGUGCGGUAGGGGAGACUGGAAUUCCUGGUGUAGCGGUGGAAUGCGCAGAUAUCAGGAGGAACACCGGUGGCGAAGGAGGGUCUCUGGGCCGUUACUGACGCUGAGGAGCGAAAGCAUGGGGAGCGAACA
rnacentral:rRNA from 1 species